CGCGCCGGGCACUGCACCGCGCCGCGGGGCCGGCGGGAUGGAUGCGCGCCGCGCUGCUUAAAGGAUGCAGGCUCAGGCGGGCACGUGCAAGCACAAAGUCCAUUCCGGGUCUUGCUAGGAAACACCCCGAGUUUACACAGGUCAAGUUAAAAUACCCUCACACAUAGAAAAAGAUGUCUGUUCCAGCAGUGGUAAGAUGUCUGCACAGUUGAUAUAUUAUGUAUUUACUAAGAGAAACAGAUUUACUGCUCUGCAAGAAUUUCACAAUCUGCUGAUCCUUUGGCUGUGAUCAACCUGCACCCAAUCUCAAACUCCAGUUUUCGUCAAACUCCAGAUCUCAUCAUUUCCAGUGAUAAAUAAAUGGUUUUUUUCAACCUUUUAAAAUACUCUGCAUGUUUGGAUCUACUUGAGCUAAGGGCUUUACUGUGUGUGGAGUUACUGGACCUCCAUAUUCCAGGAAAAUAGCAUACUUCAGUCCUCAGGGAUAGUGGGCACAGGCCAGGCUGCAGCAUUCUCACAAGAACCAAGGUGGUUUUUGGACAUUGCAUGUGUAAGAUGGAGAGGUUGUGAUGAGAGGAAUGAGUUACAAUGUCACAUCAGGGAAAAAGAAUCAAACAUUCAAUUAAAAUGAAAGUGCUGGUGGAAAAACUGAGGUUCUGUUAGCCAACAUACAGAGUUUGGAUGCUAAGAAAAAUUAGAGUUCCACAACCAUUGGACAUAUGACCUGAAAAAGGAGAAGGAAAAUAACCUGAGAGGUGGAUAUGGACAACAAGCUUGUUAAGGAGGAUUACACAGAGGAGUCAGGAGAUGUACGUGGAGGGAAGUCAAGAGUACUUCAUGAACCCAAGGACCAGCUAGAAAAGCAAAAAAGCUCAGGAAACAGAGCCAUUUUGAUGUUGGGUCAGAGAAGCUGCUCACUGAAUUAAGCAAUAGCAUCUGUCUAUUUCCAUUCAUGGAUUUUCAGGUUGAUCUUUGCAUGAACAUCCCCUUUUAUCUUCAGGACACUGUCAGCAUUUUUCAGCGAGUAUUCUUUAAAUGUUGAGAGUGGGGAAGGCCUCUUUUACUUCUCCUUUUACAGUGUGCUAGUGCCUCACCUUUAUCAGCUGUGGAGAAGUGCUCAUAGUGGAAAGGUUGGUAACAUGUCUAGGUGAACUCCAGCUGCUCUUAAGAACUUUUUCAGGGGUCUGCCCUUUCUGAACAGAUUGCUGUCUUUUCAGUCACUUACUGCCAUGUUUCUGCGACUGGUAUCUGUGGUGGUCCACCCUCUGUAUGCAAGGUCUUGAAAAGGUGCUUAAUUUAAAGUAGCCAUCAAUGACAGACUUCCUGAACUGCCCACUGAUCUGUUUCAUAGCUUAUGAGAAAAAAGAAGUGGGAAAAGGAUGGAGAUUUUUAUCUAUGACCUGUCCAAUCUAACAAUGCCUUUUUUGUUUUGUUGUUGCUUGUCAGUGACCUUGCCUGAGAAGAAGCAGAUGAUGUUUAGAAGAAAGAAAAGAAAGAGAAGGGUAGAUAUUUUCCAUAGGUCUGUUUGGCCUUUGUGACACAACAUGCUGGAGAAAAGGCACACUUGAAUAGUUUACCUUGAAGACUGAGCAUCCUGAUUUAGGAAAUGCAGGCCCUGCAAAGCAAUAUGGGAUAAAACACCCAGUAAUUUCACUGCAGCAGUCACUGUGUUUCAUAGACAGCUCUGCAGAGCAGGUCUCAUCCCAUAUACUUUCUUCCUUUAUCUCCUACCUGCCCAAGAGCCAACACAGAUUGCCACAGUGUUAAUUCCAGCCAACUCCAGUGGAAAAUACGGGCAUAUGACAAGAUUGCACAUAUGUUAAUGACUCAU